UGCAGCUGAGGGUGACACAAAUAAAUAACGCCCUCGCCUUUUACUAGGGCGUUCCGUGUCUCACCCUCACGACAAAGCUGCAUGUCAAUCUUUGGGCUCAACUCUUCGCGAGUUAUU
rnacentral:snRNA from 1 species